AGCUAGGGGGAAAGGCACAGAAACCUACAGUUCGUAAGCACCUUCACACCCAGGAAGCAACACCACGCUUCCCGACGGAGACUUUCUCCCCCUGGCGGCUACGGCGGCGGUGGCAGCUGCAAGGGCGCAGACUCGAACCCAGGGCCUGAACCUACCACCCGCGGGGAUAGGGAGGGGCAGACGACGUAGCCUCGGGAGGCGGGUGGCGGUGCGGGCGGGCGCCGCAAGCCCGGGAGGGGCGCGGGCGGGCAGGUUUCGGUCGUGGCCCGUGGUCGCCGAGCUGGGCCGUCUCAGGGGUAGAGCGUGCAGCAGGUCGGGGCGGGCGUGAGGUGAGCGGAUCGAGUGCUCUAUUCUCAAGCCACUCUCGUCUGCUUUCGGACGGCUGGGGAAGAGACAGCGAACGGCUAUGCAGAACUCCAUGCACCACACGCCUUUCCCUCUCCUCCCCUUUGGGGAAAGUUGGCUUCUAGGACUGGUGGGUUUUCGAGAGGUGGCGGUGCGUUUAGAGGCUUUACUAAGGUGCAAGAAGCCGGUUGACGGGCGACUUCGUAAGGCUGGUGCGGGGAGAGGAGGCCAGUUUGCAGAGUUAAAGCCUGACCCCCGGGGCCUGACGCGCCAAACUCGGGGGCUCCGGAGAAGCCGCAGACGCCUCGGCGCACCUGUUGUCGCCGUCACUCAUCCCCGCCGAGCGGGCGGGGCGGCGCGGGCCGCUUGGCCGGGAACCGCCGCGCCGCCCCGUCCGAGCUCCGGCGUCAACCUUAGACCCGCGCCCGCUGAGCACAGCCCGGCCGUCGCACAGCCGGCCAGCGAUGGAUCUACCUGCGCGCUUCCAGGGGAACACCUGAUAGAAACAGAAUGCUGCUGCUGCUGCUAAGUCGCUUCAGUCGUGUCUGACUCUGUGCGACCCCAUAGACGGCAGCCCACCAGGCUCCUCUGUCCCUGGGAUUCUCCAGGCAAGAACACUGGAGUGGGUUGCCAUUUCCUUCUCCAUUGGAUGAAAGUGAAAAGUGAAAGUGAAGUUGCUCAGUCAUGUCCGACUCUUCGCGACCCCAUGGACUGUAGCCUACCAGGCUCCUCCGUCCAUGGGAUUUACCAGGCAAGAGUACUGGAGUGGGUUGCCAUUUCCUUUUCCAGAUAGAAACAGAAUAAUCCCAGGAAAAAUUCAAGCUUUUUUCUUAGCGCACCUCAGAGAUUGCAGUGAAUACCAGGAACAUAGAUCCAGUAAACGAAAAUUGUCUGAAAAUACAGGUUGCAAGUUGUAUUUAAUGACUGUAGGUUUGAAAAUAUAAGUUUGUCCUCUGUUGGUUCCAUGUUCAAGAAAAUAUCUGUAUUGGUUAUGAUGGGGCAACAUAAUUAAAAAGCAAAACCUUCUUGCAACCCAGAAAACGUUUCCUCAAAGGUGAAAUUUACUGAAUAAGCAUGAAACUUGUGGUACCACAUUGGUACCAAUGUGUACCAAUGGACAGACAAUCCACUCAUGAGAGACUGCAAAGACAGAAAGUAAUCUUACCCCCUUAUAUAGUCAACAGGUACAACCUGUUACAUCACACACAGUUCAUCACAGCUUUACCCAAUAAUUGGAGUGACUAUCUUAUUGGCUUUAUCCAGAAGAAAAGGAAACUGCUUAUAUCUUUGUAACAGGAGGUACUUUUGCAAACUACAGCAAAGCAACCAUCAAACUUGGGCUCUUACCUUACUGAAACUGGGAGAUAGUGGAGCUGUAACCCUUGAAAUUUGAAUUUCCAAUUCACAGCUCAGAAAUGUACUUGAGGAAACAUUUCUGAGUUGUGAGACUGGCAAGAGACUUAUUUAGCUAUGAAACAGAUUUACAUAUGUUUGGAAAGCAUGGAGAAAGAAAUUCUGAAAGAAAAAAG
ensembl:lncRNA